rnacentral:rRNA from 1 species
GUGGCAGCCGCCGCGGUAAAACCAGCACCUCAAGUGGUCAGGAUGAUUAUUGGGCCUAAAGCAUCCGUAGCCGGCUUUGUUAGUUUUCGGUUAAAUCUAUAUGCUCAACAUAUAGGCUGUCGGGAAUACUGCAAAGCUAGGGAGUGGGAGAGGUAGACGGUACUCCGUAGGAAGGGGUAAAAUCCUUUGAUCUAUGGAUGACCACCUGUGGCGAAGGCGGUCUACCAGAACACGUCCGACGGUGAGGGAUGAAAGCUGGGGGAGCAAACCGGAUUAGAUACCCGGGUAGUCCCAGCUGUAAACUAUGCAAACUCAGUGAUGCAUUGGCUUGUGGCCAGUGCAGUGCCGCAGGGAAGCCGUUAAGUUUGCCGCCUGGGAAGUACGUACGCAAGUAUGAAACUUAAAGGAAUUGGCGGGGGAGCACCACAAGGGGUGAAGCCUGCGGCUCAAUUGGAGUCAACGCCAGAAAUCUUACCCGGAGAGACAGCAGGAUGAAGGUCAAGCUGAAGACUUUACCAGACAAGCUGAGAAGUGGUGCAUGGCCGUCGCCAGCUCGUGCCGUGAGGUGUCCUGUUAAGUCAGGUAACGAGCGAGAUCCUUGCCUCUAGUUGCCACCAUUACUCUCAGGAGUAGUGGGGCGAAUUAGCGGGACUGCCGUAGUUAAUACGGAGGAAGGAGAGGGCCACGGCAGGUCAGUAUGCCCUGAAACUCUGGGGCCACACGCGGGCUGCAAUGGUAGUGACAAUGUGUUCCGAAUCCGAGAGGAGGAGGUAAUCCAAAAACGCUACCACAGUUAUGACUGAGGGCUGCAACUCGCCCUCACGAAUAUGGAAUCCCUAGUAACUGCGUGUCAUUAUCGCGCGGUGAAUACGUCCCUGCUCCUUGCACACACCGCCCGUC